GGCAGCUCUUCUCACGGGCGUGGAGGCGGGGCUGAGGUUAGUGGGUGGUGGCUAUGGUGUUGAACGGCGGUGACGGACUUGGCUAGGCGAGCCGAGGGGUUAUGCAGAGAAUAAGACUGACACUGUUGUAGUUCCUAUAGUCGGAAACAACUUUGAUUCACUUGGAGAAGCAUAUGACUAUUUACAAUCUGUAUUCCUGGGAAAUUAGGUUUGGAAUUAGGUAUGGAAAAAGGAGACUGAACGUUGAGAGAACAAAAUGUAUGCAGGAGAUAGCUGCGACUGCUCGGGGGUCCCAAAAAGAAGUAAUACACGGUCUUGCCGGUGUAGGUGCCCAGCGAUGAUAUGGUUGCUCCGGUCAAAAGACAACAGCUGGUAGCAUGGCAUGGGGGGACGAGGAUCAAUCAAGCACUUGAUAAAAGAGACACCAAAUGGAGAAGUAUUAUCUAUUCUGAUCUCUUUCUCAUUAAUUUUCUAUCUUAACUCUAUAUUUACAUGGCAUAUUUUUAUUUUAUUUCAUAUAUACUCGCCGUAUUUCUGAAUGGCUGUUUCUGGAACAUGUCGUAUCCUAUGUCCCCGUAUGCGUAUCCCCGUCUUUCCGUCCCCGUGUCCAUGCUUUUUAGCUUAUUACUACCUAUAUUUGUGAAAUGUCUUAAUGUUGUUGUGCUAUAUUUACGAAAUUUUAUACAUCAGAUUGUGUGCUUAAUACUGCUACACUUGCAAAAUGUCCGAUGAUCGGUUUCGGAUAUGAUAAGUUUGAAUGGGUACAAUGCAGCUGGGACUAACCAAAUAGUUAAUCAAUAGCAGGGAUUACAAGGUUGCUAGGGAAUCAACCUCCACAAAGAUUGAUUGACAAGUACGGGAUCAACCCAAUCACUGGGUGGAUUAGUUCCACUAGGGGAUUGGCCGGUCCCCCUAUAACCAAACAAGGCCUACGGUUGUCCUGCAUCUGGUGGAACAUCGUAACAAAGAUGGACUUUGCCUUAAACGUGUAGCCAGUUUCAGAAAUGGUGUUCAUCGUGUACUUUGUUUUUCCUGUAGGGCAGCACGGGUGAUGAAAGCUAACACGUCAUCGGAGCAGCAUGCGAGUGAGGUGUACACUAGGGCCCAUGUUCGAGAAGUUUGGCCAGAUACUGUAGGAAGCAGGGCAGUACAGGGUCGAACCUGUUGAGCAAGGCAUGAAGUACCUAGUGCGGCGGCACAAUUCGGAGAGGCAUGACAAACGGUGCAAGGUGGUGUAUGAGGUCACAGUUGAUGGAGGGGGUGAUCAGUUUCUGCGGCAACUUCGAGCACACGAGAAUGUUGUGCAGUCAUUCACUGAAGGCACAUAAAAUUUGUUCAAAUGCUUCAUGCCUAUAGCGACAGUGUUUAAUGACCAACAUGUGACAUCUCGAUUAAUGAUGCUACUCAGGUGCAAGUCAUGGAUUUUAUGGGAGUCACGGAGACACACCAGACAGAUGUGACAUGCUGAAGAAACCGAGGAGGUAGCUGAAAUGCACCCACUGUGCCGUAGGUGGUCACCGGCGAAACAUGUGCGGAAACCCAAGUAUGGUGCUUCAUGCAGUGCCUCCUGCUGAAACCCCAAUCCGGCUGGAGGUGACAGUUGUGUAGUUAGCUUUGUUUCUAGUUUUGCGUCCAAUUUGUACAAUUUGAUUUUGUCUUGUGAGCUAGUAGGAUAGUAGGAUUUUCCUAAACCUGUGUGCAUUUAACGUAACCCUGUGUCACCCGCAAAAUAAGCUACAAGUAUUGUGAAAAAUUAUGAUUGUUAAC